CCUACGGGUGGCAGCAGUGGGGAAUAUUGCACAAUGGGGGAAACCCUGAUGCAGCGACGCCGCGUGAGUGAAGAAGUCCUUCGGUAUGUAAAGCACUAUCAGCAGGGAAGAAAAUGACGGUACUCGAUUAAGAAGCCCCGACUAAUUACGUCCCAGCAGCCGCGGUAAUACGUAGGGGCCAAGCGUUCUCCGGACUUACUGGGUGUAAAGGUAGCGUAGACGGCAGCACAAGGCUGAAGUGAAAUGCCCGGGUUUAACCCCGGAACUGCUUGGGAAACUGUGCAGCUAGAGUGCAGGAGAGGUAAGUAGAAUUCCUGGUGUAGCGGUGAAAUGCGUAGAGAUUAGGAGGAACACCAGUGGCGAAGGCGGCUUACUGGACUGUAACUGACGUUGAGGCUCGAAAGCGUGGGGAGCAAACAGGAUUAGAUACCCCAGUAGUC
rnacentral:rRNA from 1 species